GGAAUUCAAAAACUGCAAUUUUUAAGAACCAUUUACCCAUCUAUACUAACUUCAAAAUAACCGUGAUUCGUUACUGGUUGAUAGAAAUGGCCCCGUGUAUAUAGCAAUCGAAUAACAGGUAAAUGUUAGGGUAGAUUUCAGCGGGUAGGUAAACAUAUUCCUCGACGAAAACAGCCGACACUGCACCCAGACGGCUGUCGGUGGGCCAAUGUGAGCUGUAUGGACACGUGCCGCGUCUCCAUAGGGUGGGUGCGCUGGAUCCUGCGAUUCCGAUUCCGGCAGGUAUAAAAGACCUCCGACCGCCUCUAAAUUGUCGGUAGCUAAGUCUCGCCGAGCCGGAAGAGGGAGGGAGACGCGGGCGGCGGAGGUGGCGGCGGAGAUGAUGCGGCGUUCGGGCUCGGAAGGGGGGUCGAGUGGGGGGUCGGCAGAGGAAAUGUGGGGGGAGGCGGCGGGGUGGGAGAUGAGGCCGGGAGGUUUGCUGGUCCAGCAGCGGGCUCCGGUCCCCGGGAGACCGCCGCCGCCGCAGGUGCGUGUCCGAAUCUCGUAUGGCGCUGCCAGAUACGAGGUCUCCGUCUCCUCCGUCGCCACCUUCGGAGAAUUGAAGAAGCUUCUGAUGGCCGAUUCAGGGUUGCAGCCUGCCGAGCAGAGGCUGCUUUACAAAGGGAAGCAGAGAGGCGACAGCGAGUACCUUGAUGCAUGUGGUGUGAAGAACCGGUCUAAGAUUGUAUUGGUUGAGGACUCGACAAGCUUGGAGAGAAGAUAUACUGAGAUGCGCAAGAAUGCAAGGAUGCAAAGGGCCCACCGAGCCAUCUCCACCAUUUCACUAGAUGUUGACAAAUUGGCAGAUCAGGUUACUACCAUGGAGAAAUAUAUUAGAAAUGGAAAUAAAGUUGCUGAAGUACAGAUCACAACAUUAAUAGAGUUGCUCAUGAGACAAGCUAUUAGACUGGAUAGCAUUUCCGCUGAGGGAGAUGCUUCUUCCCAAAGAAAUCUGCAGGCUAAAAGAGUACAAAAAUGUGUUGAAACACUGGAUGUGCUGAAAGUUUCCAACACCAAAUUGAAGCCAGUGGUAGUGACAACAAAGUGGGAGACAUUUGAUCCACCAACAACAACACAAUGGGAGUAUUUCGAGUGAUUCUACUCUUUCUCCUCCUCCUCUCAUUCUUUUGGUGUAUUGUUCAAGUGUUCACCAGCCACAGAGAUAGAUCGGCAGAGGGCAAAAGCAUCGGAAGUCCCCCCCCCCCGUCUCAGAGGCCGUCAAAUGUGGGGAUUCCUGCUGCGUUUUGUUGUCAUGUUCAGCCCACUCGGUGUUCGAUGAAAUGCCACGCCAACCACAGUAGUGAAAGAAAGGAUAAUGGCGGAAGCACAAGGAAGCCUUCUUAUUGGAGAAGAGGCGGUUGCAGGAAUCAAACCUCCUGUGGUCCGAUGCUGGGCUCACUGUGCAAGGCCACCAAGCACGGGUGAGUACUGAAGCGAUGCAACUUGUACUUGAAAGC